rnacentral:rRNA from 1 species
UUGAACGCUGGCGGCAUGCCUUGCACAUGCAAGUCGAACGGUAACGGGCCUUCGGGUGCCGACGAGUGGCGAACGGGUGAGUAAUACAUCGGAACGUGCCCGAUCGUGGGGGAUAACGAGGCGAAAGCUUUGCUAAUACCGCAUACGAUCUACGGAUGAAAGCAGGGGACCGCAAGGCCUUGCGCGGACGGAGCGGCCGAUGGCAGAUUAGGUAGUUGGUGGGAUAAAAGCUUACCAAGCCGACGAUCUGUAGCUGGUCUGAGAGGAUGAUCAGCCACACUGGGACUGAGACACGGCCCAGACUCCUACGGGAGGCAGCAGUGGGGAAUUUUGGACAAUGGGCGCAAGCCUGAUCCAGCCAUGCCGCGUGCAGGAUGAAGGCCUUCGGGUUGUAAACUGCUUUUGUACGGAACGAAAAGCCUUCUUUUAAUACAGGAGGGUCAUGACGGUACCGUAAGAAUAAGCACCGGCUAACUACGUG